UUUUAUGGAGAGUUUGAUCCUGGCUCAGGACGAACGCUGGCGGCGUGCUUAACACAUGCAAGUCGAACGGUAAGGCCCUUUCGGGGGUACACGAGUGGCGAACGGGUGAGUAACACGUGGGUAAUCUGCCCUGCACUUCGGGAUAAGCCUGGGAAACCGGGUCUAAUACCGGAUAUGAGCUCCUGCCGCAUGGUGGGGGUUGGAAAGUUUUUCGGUGCAGGAUGAGUCCGCGGCCUAUCAGCUUGUUGGUGGGGUAAUGGCCUACCAAGGCGACGACGGGUAGCCGGCCUGAGAGGGUGAUCGGCCACACUGGGACUGAGACACGGCCCAGACUCCUACGGGAGGCAGCAGUGGGGAAUAUUGCGCAAUGGGCGGAAGCCUGACGCAGCGACGCCGCGUGG
rnacentral:rRNA from 1 species